rnacentral:rRNA from 1 species
UACGUAGGGUGCGAGCGUUGUCCGGAAUUAUUGGGCGUAAAGAGCUCGUAGGCGGUCUGUCGCGUCUGCUGUGAAAACCCGGGGCUCAACUCCGGGCUUGCAGUGGAUACGGGCAGACUAGAGUUCGGUAGGGGAGACUGGAAUUCCUGGUGUAGCGGUGAAAUGCGCAGAUAUCAGGAGGAACACCGGUGGCGAAGGCGGGUCUCUGGGCCGAUACUGACGCUGAGGAGCGAAAGCGUGGGGGAGCGAACAGG